rnacentral:lncRNA from 1 species
UAUCCUCGCCAUCUUUCACCUCUCCGAACAUUCACAUAAUACACCCCAAAAUACAAUGUAUAUUUUAUGUCCCUUCUAUUCUACGUCUAUUAAUAUUUUACUUGUCACAUCAAUUUUUUAAAAAUUUAUUUAGAUUUUUAUCAAUUCUAGAAUGAGCUAUGUAUAUGAUCUACACUCUUAUUUUUGGGUAUACAAGAAGCAUUUUCCUUCACCUUCGUCUCAAUCACUUGCCCACUUUUUUAAUUGCAGUAAAAUCUUCAGUUCUAAUUAG